rnacentral:lncRNA from 1 species
UCUGUGACACCUUUGUGACCCAAAGACAAUUGCUAACAAAUAUAUCUCUCCUUUGUCCAGAACAAGGUGCUGCCCUUAUAACUUCUGCAAAUGUGGUGCCACAGUAUCAGAUUCAGCUGCACAUUUUUGAAUUUCAAGUGGAUUCACAGAAAUAUGAGAGAGACUUCAAAGCCAGUAGCAAAUAGAGGCAAAUUGAAACCCUACUUCAGCAGACAAGGAUUACAGAAUCCACAGGCUCUGGAGGACUCGAAGCCUGACACUUUGGCAACAUUUCCAGCUGUUUGUGUCCACUUUACUUCAUUCCCCUGGGUGGCAGCGGAGCCAUUCAGAUGCUGGCUGGGCCCCAUGCCGUUCUUGCAGCGUGUGGGUGGUUCCCCCUUGGCAGAAGGCAAACCCUCUCCGGCACAGCCCCAGAUCCCAGGCGCAUUCCUCGGGAGCCGGCCGCUCCGAUUCCCUGAUUUACGAUGGAAAGAAAAAAAACCAAAUCCAAGAGUGGGAGGGGACAUGAAGAAAAGGGGUUGGGGCCCUGUGGAAUUACAUCUCUGUUUAUAG